UACGUAGGGGGCAAGCGUUGUCCGGAAUUACUGGGCGUAAAGGGCUCGUAGGCGGCCAACUAAGUCAGACGUGAAAUCCCUCGGCUUAACCGGGGAACUGCGUCUGAUACUGGAUGGCUUGAGAUUGGGAGAGGGAUGCGGAAUUCCAGGUGUAGCGGUGAAAUGCGUAGAUAUCUGGAGGAACACCGGUGGCGAAGGCGGCAUCCUGGACCAACACUGACACUGAGGAGCGAAAGCCAGGGGAGCAAACGGG
rnacentral:rRNA from 1 species